rnacentral:rRNA from 1 species
UCAUACUGACACUGAGUGCGAAAGCAUGGGUAGCGAAGAGGAUUAGAUACCCUCGUAGUCCAUGCUGUAAACGAUGUGUGCUAGACGUUGGAAAUUUUAUUUUCAGUGUCGCAGCAAAAGCGUUAAGCACACCGCCUGGGGAGUACGACCGCAAGGUUAAAACUCAAAUGAAUUGACGGGGACCCGCACAAGUAGUGGAGCAUGUGGUUUAAUUCGAAGAUACGCGCAGAACCUUACCAACACUUGACAUGUUCGUCGCGACUUUAAGAAAUUAAAGUUUUCGGUUCGGCCGGACGAAACACAGGUGCUGCAUGGCUGUCGUCAGCUCGUGUCGUGAGAUGUUGGGUUAAGUCCCGCAACGAGCGCAACCCUUACUUUUAGUUGCUACCAUUCAGUUGGGCACUCUAAAAGAACUGCCAGUGAUAAGCUGGAGGAAGGUGGGGAUGACGUCAAGUCCUCAUGGCCCUUACGUGUUGGGCUACACACGUGCUACAAUGGUACUUACAGUGAGAAGCAAAGAGGCGACUCUAAGCCAAUCCCAAAAAGGUACCUCAGUUCGGAUUGUACUCUGCAACUCGAGUACAUGAAGCUGGAAUUACUAGUAAUCGCGGAUCAGCGCGCCGCGGUGAAUACGUUCCCGGGUCUUGUACACACCGCCCGUCACACCAUGGAAGUUGGUUACACCUUAAGGCAAAGCGUAAAACCUUUGACUACGGUACGAUCAGCGACUGGGGUGAAGUCGUAACAAGGUAGCCGUAGGGGAACCUGCGGCUG